rnacentral:rRNA from 1 species
UGGAGGGUGCAAGCGUUAUCCGGAUUCACUGGGUUUAAAGGGUGCGUAGGUGGAUUGGUAAGUCCGUGGUGAAAUCCCCGAGCUUAACUCGGGAACUGCCGUGGAUACUAUCAAUCUUGAAUACUGUGGAGGUAAGCGGAAUAUGUCAUGUAGCGGUGAAAUGCUUAGAUAUGACAUAGAACACCGAUAGCGAAGGCAGCUUGCUACACAGUCAUUGACACUGAGGCACGAAAGCGUGGGGAGCAAACAGGAUUAGAUACCCUGGUAGUCCACGCCCUAAACGAUGAUUACUCGACAUACGCGAUACACUGUGUGUGUCUGAGCGAAAGCAUUAAGUAAUCCACCUGGGAAGUACGACCGCAAGGUUG